CCUACGGGAGGCAGCAGUCGAGAAUUUUUCUCAAUGGGGGAAACCCUGAAGGAGCGACGCCGCGUGGGGGAUGAAUGGCUUCGGCCCGUAAACCCCUGUCAUCUGCGAGCAAUAUCUGCUACUUAAAAGGUGGCAGAUUGAUAGUAGCGGAAGAGGAAGGGACGGCUAACUCUGUGCCAGCAGCCGCGGUAAUACAGAGGUCCCAAGCGUUGUUCGGAUUUACUGGGCGUAAAGGGUGCGUAGGUGGCAUAUAUAGUCUGAUGUGAAAUCUUGAAGCUUAACUUCGAAACUGCAUUGGAAACUUAUGUGCUAGAGUAGUGUAGGGGAGACUGGAAUGCUCGGUGUAGCAGUGAAAUGCGUAGAUAUCGAGCGGAACACCAGUGGCGAAGGCGAGUCUCUGGACACUCACUGACACUGAGGCACGAAAGCCAAGGGAGCAAACGGGAUUAGAUACCCCUGUAGUC
rnacentral:rRNA from 1 species